rnacentral:lncRNA from 1 species
UUAGUUCUCUUCUUUCUCUGGAGUAGUGUGGACAGUGUAUGAGUACGUGUUCGGUGUUUUCUUUUUCUGUGCAUCCAUUUGGACAUUCCGGCUGGACGUUCAUGUCCCAUUUACUGAUGGUGGCAUUUAGUUUAUUGUGGCCACUUCGCAGUCUCAUCAGUGCGGAUUUCUGCCAUGUUGGGUGAGUGCGUCAUCGUCGCCCCGUCGUCUGCACUUCUUCUGAUGUUUGCUAGCUGGUCUGCGAUUUCAUUUCUUCUUAUUCCAGAAUGACUUGGUAUGGAUGUGCUUGUUUCCCAUUUGAAGUUGGAGAUUGCCUGGAUAGCUGACUUGGAGUCUGUGAAUAUGGUGAUUUCGUUCCAGAUUUGAUUGUAUAUAUACAGCACAGGUGGUCUUCAGUGUCUUCAGACAAGUUGAUCCGUCAGUGAAGAUGGCUAUGUGGUCUUUAUGUUCACUGUUCCUAAUCUCAAGU